UUUUUUUUUUUUCUGGGUAGUUAUUAAACACCACAAUCAAUUACUUUGCUGGGGACAUGGCCAUGUCCAUGGUGAUUUUUCUCACUUGCAAGUGCAUGGAUCACAGCUGCAGCUUGAUCCACACUUGCAGCCACUCUCAGCACUGAAGUUCAUCUCAGACCCCUCAAAGAACCUGCAAUUAGCAGUCCAUACUCAAAUUAAUUUCAACUUCUUGUUUAUAUGUAAAAUACCAAAAUUUAUUGUUCUGAUACAUACUUCUUAGCAGGUGCAACUCCUGCAAUGAGGAGCUCAGUUUUGGUGCUGCUCUCUGAGAAUCCCAAAUUAGGGUACAUGGAACAUCUGCAAGAACAAUUAAACAUAUAAAAAUAAUAAUAUCAACCAGAGCCUGUUAGCAACCCUUGACAAGAAAAUGAUAAAGAGGUACAGAAGGUAUUAUAAUAGAUUUUAGCAUAUUUUCCAAGAAAAUGAAUUUACCCUCCACAGCCACUGCCACACUUGCAGCCAGAGCCACAGCCACAGUUACCACCACAGCAAGACAUUUUUCUGUUUUCUCUUCAGGGAAGUUAAGAAAAAGAAGGAUUUGAAUUGCUUGGAAAAU
rnacentral:lncRNA from 1 species